ACACAACAAUUCAAAGAGAUUUGUAGAAACAAAUGAAAAUUUUGAAUAAGAUACUAAAGAUAUUUUCAGAAUAUAGAGAUACUACUGGAUUGGACUAUACCUCCUGAGUACAUGGACUUUUUUAGAAAAGAGAAGAAAAGUGUCGAGGAAAUCCUUCAAGAGCUGGCAGGAUAAUGUUUAGGAAAUCCGACAUAACUGAGAAUAUGACAUUGUAAUCUUAUAAAGGCUUCAGUUUGAUAAUAUUUUGGGAAAUCCUCAAAAAAUGACAAGAUGCUACUAAAAAUCCUUCAAAGGCUGACAAGAUAAUCCUUGAGAUGCUUGCAGAAUAAAAUGUUUAAAGUCCUUCGUAAAUUGACAAUAUAACACACAAUUUUUAGAAAAUCUCCUAAAACUGACAAAAUAAUUCAAAAUCAUCCAAAGGCUGGCAGAAAUUUGUGAAAUACCCCAAUGUACAUUGCUAUACACUGUACAUAUUGUAAAAUGUACAUUUUACCCACAUUUUAGAUUAUUUAAUAUUUAUAAUUUAAAACAACGUGAUUUUAACUAUGAUGAAUCUAUUAUGAUUAUUUUAAUUCUUUUUGGUGCCAUUUUUACUUCUAGUCAAAACCAAACUCAUUUUAGAAAUUAUUCGACCAACCAAAGCAGGCUAAUUACUAAUCAAAGCACUAUUCUAACAUGGAACGUAUAAAACCUUAUUUGACCAACCAAAGCAGGCUAAUUAUUGAUCAAAGCACUAUUUUAACAUGGAACGUACAAAACCUUAUUCGACCCAAGGAUCAGGCAAAUUACUGAUCAAAGUACUAUUUUAGCAUGGAUCGUAUAACACCCUGAUUUUUUAUUAUUAAAAGAAUUUUUGAACCACAUUCAUGUAAACAUUAUAUUUUGUGCAAUGGAACCCCGACAGUGCUAUUCUAUUUAAUCUUUUAAAUGCUUCCAGCUAUUCUAAGUCAAGCUAAAACAAAUAAAUUAUAACAAAUAUUUGAUAAAAAUACCGCAGCUUUUUAAAUUGUGAUCUCUAGUAGGCAUUAUUCUAUUUUUUGUUGUUAAAUAAUGUAUCUAAUUAAAUUAUGUUCAUUAUGAAUAAAGUAUAAAAGUCAUUU